rnacentral:pre_miRNA from 1 species
UUGAGCAAGAUGGAGAAGCAGGGCACGUGCAUUACUAACUCAUCUUCAAAUAUAUUCCAAUAUUUCCACCCUACCUCUUAUAAGCUCUACCUAAUUAUAGCUACUUCAAAAAUUAACAAGUGAUGGAUGAGUUAGUUGUUCAUGUGCCCAUCUUCCCCAUCAUGACCCA